rnacentral:lncRNA from 1 species
AGCUCCCACUGUCACUCAUCUGGACAGUGCAGUCUCUUUCCUUGGUCCCUGGCCCUCGCUAUUCCCUCCCCUCCUCCACUGUUCCCCCGUUACCGCACGAAGAUGGGGUCCUAUCCGAUGUGCAUUAAAAAAGCCAACUAUUACAGCAUCAGCUUUAUUGCUAUAUGGAUCGCCCCACGGAUGUCUCACUCUAAGCCAGGCUGGACGGGCACGAGGCCAACAAGCAACACGCAUGUCCACAGCCGCUGCUCCAGCCCUCGCAACACGCCCGCCACACCGGCAACCGUUUGAGGUUGAAAAACUGUCCAAGUCCGUCCUGGGCUCCUCCAAGGAGGUCGUGGUUUGAUCUGAAGUCUCAUGCCUGUCAUUACCAUCCUAUCUGUGCCUGCGAAACGGAUGUGACAAGCGCUGCCUCAGAGGAGCGAGAGCCUCAAAACCAGGUUCUUCAGGAAUGCACGCAAGGGCCCCUCCCAGGGACGGCCUGUGGACCUGGAGUCAGAAACGAGGGACUGUCCCUGUUCUGCCACUUGGCAGCGCUGUGGGCUUAGACAAGCUGCCCGGCCUCUGAGUCCGGCCCUCGUGUGUCAAACAGACACCGCUGGGCUCUAACUUAAAUGUCAAAGCCAGUUAUCAUUCUCACAGUCACGGUGACCUUGAACCACCGAAACUUACUUUAGCCAAUCUCGUCUAAACACACGCCCCCUUACUUUUACCAAACCCUUCUUCAAUCUCAACCUCUACUCGUUUAAGACAGAUCUGCAAGUAAGGGAAAAAACAGUAAGAUGCAGAAUGUCUUAUUUACGUGAAAAAAGGCCAUAAAAACACAAUUUAGCAUCUUUAGGCGUAAAACAUCUCUGCAGCGAGACACAAAAACCUUGACG